rnacentral:piRNA from 1 species
UAGGUGUAAGGGCUUCAUUCAUUCAGGAAGU